AAAAUUGUUUGCCUUUAAGCCAAUGGUAUUUUUGUCUUUUCAUACAAUAAUUAGUCAUUAUGCAUUUGUUUGGGGGUAUUUCUCUCUACUCAAUAUAUUUAUGAAUGGUAAAAGAACUAAAAUACCCCUGGGAUAAAAAAAAAACUAGCAUUGUAAGGCAAGGGUGUUGUCUUUUUCUUUUUUAGAAUAUAAUAAGAUUACGUAUAUGACUUUAAGAACAAAAAUAUUAUGCCAUUGAAACAAGGGUUUUGGUGUCUUUUUUUCAGUUUUUUUUGUUGUUGUAAUUAUUGGUUUGGUUGAUAGUUGUAAUGUAAUUUACCAUUUAAUUCAUGAUUUUUAAAUGCAAAAAGUUGUUGGCGCGUGGACGACGCUAAACACUUUGGGUGGCGCAUGCACCAUUUCCCGGUAGUGUAAAAUAAGCCUUCGUCGUCUCAUUUGGUUCUCCUUUGUCUUCUCUUCCUUUAUUGGUGGCACAUGGCAUCUAAAGGUGGUUAGUUUGUCGCCCAUGACCCUUCCUUUUUUUCCCCUUCAUACUUUUCUAGACUAAAAAAGCAACUCAAAUCCGUAUGGUUGUUGGUGUUUUAGAUUUAGUCUUUUUAGUUCUGAUUUUUUUUCAUUUUCUCCUAUUUUUUCUUUUGUUAAAGUUUUAUCUUUUUUCAAUUUACUUCAGUUUUAAUUUCUAAAUGUAAGUUUUUCAAAUCAGCCCUUCUAGUUUUCAUACUUUAUUUAUUUUUAUUUUCGCUCUUUUAUCAAAAAAAUUUAUGUUUUUCAAUUUUAUCAAUCAUAUCAGGUUUUUUUAAUUUUUUUUCUUCAAUAAGAA
rnacentral:lncRNA from 1 species